rnacentral:ncRNA from 1 species
UUCCUGAAUACCGAGUGCAUGGAAUAAUGGAAUAGGACCUCGGUUCUAUUUUGUUGGUUUUCGGAAGCCCCGAGGUAAUGAUCGAAAGGGACAGACGGGGGCAUUCGUAUUACGACGUUAGAGGUGAAAUUCUUGGAUCGUCGUAAGAUGGACAGAACAAAAGUUAGAGGUUCAAAGAUGAUCAGAUA